rfam:Otolemur garnettii contig151101, whole genome shotgun sequence.
GCCAGACACAGUAGUGUGCACCUAUAGUCCCAGAUACUUGGGAGGCUGAGACAGGAGGACUGCUUGAGUCCAGCAGUUCUGGGCUCUAGUGCACUAUGCCAAUCGGGUGUCCACACUAAGUUUGCCAUCGAUAUGGUGACCUCCUGGGGGCGGGGGGCCACCAGGAUGCUUAAAGAGGGGUGAACCAGCCCAGGUAGGAAAUGGAAUACGUCAAAACUCCCAUGCUGAUCAGUAGUGGGAUCAUGCCUAUGAAUAGCCAGUGCACUCCAGCCUGGGCAACAUAGCAAGACUCUGUCUCUA